UUCAUUGUAUUUGCAUGUUUCCAGCAGCCAUGUAUCAAAAAAGCUUCAGCUUUGGGUUGUUGAUUUAGCAGCAUCAAUCAUUAAUUGUUCUGCUAUAUAUGUUCUUAACCAUGACAACCUGAUUAGGCUCUUAGUUUAUUAUGGUCUUUGUUCUGGGUGGAUCUCUGACUAUUCUGGGUUGCUCCGAUGAGGACAAGCUGCUUCUGCAGGUGGACGGGCCCUCAAGGCUGCUCUGCCUAUUCCUCAUGCUACCCCCACACGUGCGAACACAAAGCCGUCGAUGCAUUGAGGGCUCAAUGUCGUCUCCGUCGGCUGAGCGGCAAGCCGGGGUUGGGCCUGCACACCGUCUAUUAGCACCCUCCCGCGUCUCCAUUCACGGAUCUGCAGGUCAACCCCUCUCCUCCUCCUAUCCAUGCAUCUUCUUUUCCAGAGCUAGGUGUAUGGUUGCAUGGCAAUUUGUGUUUUGGGGCUCACCAUGUUCUGCUUGCCUUGGUUGGCCAAUGAGGCUUUCCUUUUCUGGUAAAGGCCAAAUGUACUAUUCUCUAUGCUUUAUAUUUUUGUAGUUCCUUUGUUUCCAUGCUUGUUUUUUGAUGGGGUGUAAAUAUAUGCUUUUUUGUUCCUUGUCUGGAUUCAGGUAGGGCCUAACAUUAUUGUUCCUUUGUGCAUGGAAAUGUUGGUGGUUUUGUUCCUUUGUCUAUGGAAGGGGGCCUUGAUUAGAAUUUCUAACGUUUGAGUUGUAAUUAGUGUUUUUGUUACACAUGAAAACAUAUGGUUGUUUGUCCAAUCACAUAUGAAAAAGAGAGGAUUGUUUGUCCAAUAAUUUUCUUUCUCUGUGAUAGUUUUACUAGAAAUAAAGCAUAGUCACUAUUACAUCCUAUUUUAUAUCUUGUUGUGUCGUGAUAUCUGUAUAGGCUCUGUCUACGUCCUUUUGACAUUCCAAGUUUUGUUUUUCUAUGGCUCAAUUAGUUACCCCGUAUCAAGAGAAAUUUAACUGGUAUUUGCGGCAGAGUUAGCUGAAUUCAUGAAGCAAUGAUUUAGUUAUUAUUAAAGCUGAAACACAACAUGUUUUGACAAAUGCGUUCUAAGUAAAGCCUCCAACUAACAUAACCAAAAACAUAUUCUUUAGGUUUAUCAUCUAUUGAAGUAUUAUGUAGAAUUUAAAAUCAUACGAGGCAAAGCAAAUGAGCUCUAUGCACUUUCCAUGUAGCACAGAACAAAAAUAAUCAUGUAUAUUUUGGAUGCACCUAGAUAUACUCAUCAGCAAGGCUGAGGUUAUAGGGCACUCACCCACAUUGUCGAUAUCUCCGUCACUAUGAUCACCCACAUGAUGGACAAUUCCCUUCUUUCUUUUCUCUGUGGAUAUUGACACUUAAUGCUAUUACUGUGUGCAUAUAUGUACUGUGAUCCAUUCUCAUUCUUCAUAUCUUGAGAAACUAUCUCAAGAUACUCGCGUUUGUGUUUUGGAGAAAUCCUAUUCUAUGAUUAAUAUAUCGAGUAUGGAUGGCGCGAUAUCACCUCUCUUUAUGAUGAUGUUCUUACAGAAUAUAGGUUUUAUGGUAACAAGUCUUAGCCAACACCUAUACUGAUGCUCAGACCAGAUGAUUAUAGUCUCUCCUUGCUAUUUUUCUUGAGGUGUGUACAUCUAUCUAGACAAUUCAAUUAAAAUAUAUAUUCCAUACAAACCAUCAAUACAUGUUAGUUGACUUUGAAACUAAUCAGUAAAAGGUUGUCCCUUUCGCAUUUUAUGGACAUAAAGAUUUGGUGUUGAUUGUCGAUCUUUAGUUAACACAUGACCUUACAACCGUAGGGAGUGGGGAAAAACUUAUAUGUUUGGCACAUUUGAAGAACAUAUCAUAGUAACAAAGUUUUGGUAAACAAUGUCCUAGAUCUCAACCAUAUAGAAAUACUAAAUAUAUGUUUAUUUGUAUAUGGAUUAAUUAUACAGACUUAUAAAACCUUGUGCACGGCACAUAAAAGAAAUUUGAAAUAACUAUUAUUUCAAUAUUUGCUUUUUCAGUUGAGCAUAAUAGUUUAUAGCCUGAUAGGCUUGGACAUAAUUGUCUACAUGUACUGCUCAGUAGGCGACAUCCUUUGGGAAAUUGAGGAUGUCCUCGUGCAUUUUCUAAAUACAAUUGUGGCAGCUCUGAGGAAGGAGGGGAGGAAUAAUCUCGCGGGAGAGUUCGGUGCAGAGGAAGAAGAACAAGAUAUUAUUUAUUUCUUGUGAACAGUCAAGCUUGUGCAUUGUCCCACUUUCUGGGGCCAGGCAACCUUGAAUCCAACGUCCACCUGCAGGCUACAUCUCAGAAAACUCAUGAACAUCAUGGCGCCUUGUUGAUGGGGUGAUCAAUAGCUACAAUAUUGGGACCCUGCACUUAAAUUGGGAAAUUGCAAAGCAUAUUAUGAAUUGUUACAAGAAACUAUUUCCGCUGUUUUGGUGCAAGGAUGUUGCUUUUUAGUAUGCUUCCCGUAUCUUGGUAUCUUGGAAUAAUAAACAGAUAGAUGUCGUGUACCAAGAUUGUUCCUUGUUGUUAAGAGGGAUACAAAUAUUAUACAAGAAUUUUUCUGAUGACUCCUAAAGCAUAUUUGGAUAUACAGCAAAGUAUAUUGUCGCUUCCCUGUUAGUAAAACAAUUAUGUUAGAAAUUUGGUUGGCAGCCCCUACAUUUGGCUGAUUGCUAGCUGACUGGAUUACUCAUGUUUGCCGACUCUGGUAACUUACGCCUACCAAGAACUACAUGAAUUUUGUGUCUUGCUGCAGUGAACAUUACCAAACUAAUUCUAAAGGUGUUAUAAUCAUGUUUUCUUUUGCAUUAUCAACUUUUAACUUUUGUCAUUUGUUAACACAUUCCUUUUGCAUUAUCAACUUUUAACUAUUGUCAUUUGUUAACACGAUUAUUUAGCAUGUUCACUAUGCAAGUACUCCCUCCGUCCGAAAAUACUUGUCAUCAAAAUAGAUAAAAAGAAAUGUAUCUAGAACUAAUAUACAUCUAAAUACAUCCCCUUUUAUUCAUUUUGGUGACAAGUAUUUCCAGACGGAGGGAGUAGUAAUAAUAGGAGCUAUUUAUUUGCCAGAUAACUAACACUAUUCAUAAGGCAUAAGGGUUAGAAAAAGAACUGUAUUCUUGCUGUGUUGAUUUUCGUAUGGCACACUAUGGAUUCUUUGUGUAACACAUAAUGUCGAUCAACAUGUGUUUACAACGCAGGGAGGAGCCGCGCGACAAGGCAGUCAGACCAAACUCUCUAUCCAUAUAUAUAGGUAGUCUGAUGUUAUGCCAUAGCCGAACCAUAUAUGUUUCGUGUACUGCUCUAUCAAUCUGGUCUUUUGGUAUAUUAGACUCUAUCCUUUGUAAUGAACUUAUUGUCAUGGGCGAUCGUUAUGACUGGAUCGUAUGGUAUGGAUCGGGUCUUUAUGCUUUGUGAUGAAAUAUCAUA